rnacentral:rRNA from 1 species
AGUGAACGCUGGCGGUAGGCCUAACACAUGCAAGUCGAACGGCAGCACAGUAAGAGCUUGCUCUUACGGGUGGCGAGUGGCGGACGGGUGAGGAAUACAUCGGAAUCUACUUUUUCGUGGGGGAUAACGUAGGGAAACUUACGCUAAUACCGCAUACGACCUACGGGUGAAAGCAGGGGAUCUUCGGACCUUGCGCAAUUGAAUGAGCCGAUGUCGGAUUAGCUAGUUGGCGGGGUAAAGGCCCACCAAGGCGACGAUCCGUAGCUGGUCUGAGAGGAUGAUCAGCCACACUGGAACUGAGACACGGUCCAGACUCCUACGGGAGGCAGCAGUGGGGAAUAUUGGAUAAUGGGCGCAAGCCUGAUCCAGCCAUACCGCGUGGGUGAAGAAGGCCUUCGGGUUGUAAAGCCCUUUUGUUGGGAAAGAAAAGCAGCAGGUUAAUACCCCGCUGUUCUGACGGUACCCAAAGAAUAAGCACCGGCUAACUUCGUG